AAGGAUUUAAGUUAUUUUUAAAAACUAGAAACCUUCAAAGUUUCAAAAAAAGAUCAUUCUUUAAGCCUUA
rnacentral:tRNA from 1 species